GGAGAUUCCGUUAUAAAUCAAAAAUAGAAAAAAAAAAUGUAACGCGAUUUUUUUAAGAGUUAAUAACAAAUUUUUACGAAAAUCGUAAUCAUUUGGGUCGCGUCUUUUCGUUAACAAUGGUUUAUCGCUGCUUACAGUUAUAAAUUAAAUAUUUAAUUAAUAUUUUAUUAUACUUAAUGCAUCCCACAUUCCCACCUACAACAUUGAUACACCCGUGACCAGUCCUUAGUAUCAGCUUUUUCUUUUUUUUAGCUAAUUUGUUUUGUUAGCUGUAAUAAACUAAAAGUAAACCACGCGCGAGAUGUGUUUUUUUCCUCAGAUAAAAUCGUCCCCCCCUCCCCCGGUCAUUUAAAACGCUCCGAAUGGCAAAUUGUUCACAAAUCGCGGUAGAACUUUAUUUACAAUACAUUAGUCUAGAUCAGUGGUCCUCAACCUUUUUCGUGUGCGCCGACACCCUAGUUUAGAUCCGUGAAAAUGACGACACACUUGAUGAUUUAUAAUUCAUCACGUCAUAUAUUUAUACUUUGAAAACGUACGGUUAAAAACUAUAAUGUAUAAAAAAAAAAAAACCAUGAAUAAACAACUUUUUCGGCGACACACGUCACAGUGACACUAGCGCGUCACGACACACCGGUUGAAAACCACUGG